AGAGUUUGAUCAUGGCUCAGAACGAACGCUGGCGGCAGGCCUAACACAUGCAAGUCGAACGAGAAGCCACCUUCGGGUGGUGGACAGUGGCAGACGGGUGAGUAACGCGUGGGAACGUGCCUUUCGGUUCGGGAUAACCCAGGGAAACUUGGGCUAAUACCGGAUGCCGUCGGAGCGCCGCAUGGUGCAUCGACRAAAGUUUUUCGGUUCGGGAGGGCCUCGCGGCCUAUCAGCUAGUUGGUGGGGUAACGGCCUACCAAGGCGUCGACGGGUAGCUGGUCUGAGAGGAUGACCAGCCACACUGGGACUGAGACACGGCCCAGACUCCUACGGGAGGCAGCAGUGGGGAAUCUUGCGCAAUGGGCGAAAGCCUGACGCAKCAACGCCGCGUGCGGGAUGAAGGCCUUCGGGUUGUAAACCGCUUUCAGUAGGAACGAAAAUGACGGUACCUACAGAAGAAGGUCCGGCCAACUACGUGCCAGCCGCCGCGGUAAUACA
rnacentral:rRNA from 1 species